AUUUAAAUAGUUUAUUUUAAAAUAUUGAUUUGUGGUGUCAAUGAUAUGAGUUAAUCAUUUUAGAUC
rnacentral:tRNA from 1 species